UCCUGGUUUCCCAGGCAGUCCCGUUAGAGUGCUUUAUCUUACGAUAAGUGGCAACUAACAGCAAGGGUUGCGCUCGUUAAAGGACUUAACCCAACAUCUCACGACACGAGCUGACGACAGCCAUGCAGCACCUGUGCAACUGUCGGACCGAAGCCCGAAGACCGUAUUUCUACGGCUGUCAGAAGCAUGUCAAGCCCAGGUAAGGUUCCUCGCGUACCGUCGAAUUAAACCACAUGUUCCACCGCUUGUGCGGACCCCCGUCAAUUCCUUUGAGUUUUAGUCUUGCGACCGUAAUCCCCAGGCGAAUCACUUAACGCGUUAGCUUCGACACCAAUCCAGCUAAGCCAGACUGACGUCCAGUGAUUAUCGUUUACAGCGUGGACUAC
rnacentral:misc_RNA from 1 species